AAAAAGUGAAGGUUGUGUUAGUGUGUAAUAAAAGUCAGCUUGCCGAAUUAUGGAUUUAAUGUUGAGAUUUUGGUUAAUAGUUGGACCAUUUGCUGAUAAAUGUUGUGUGUCAUUCCUUUUUCUUAGAUUAGUUAACCUGGAAUUAGAGGAGUUUGUAGUUUAGAAGCUAGCCGGAGUGAUGUUUCUUGGACUUGACCAUUGAUGCUUAAUAUUAUUUUUCUUGGUAUCUUGGCAAUUUGUUGGAUAGAGCAAUAGCCACUAUCAAAUAUUGGUGUUUGUUUCUUGUUCUCAUGCUUGAGGACAAGCAUGAUUUAGGUGUGGGGAGAAUUGAUAGGGUGUUAAUUGUUGGUAUUUUUAUUAUUAAUUUUCCCUUCUAUCCCUGACAAAUAUUGUGUUAAUUGCUGAUAUUUACUCAUAUUUGGUAUUUGGAAUCAAUUUCAGGAAUGAAGCAGAAAACUACCAAAAAGGAGGGACUUUGUGAAAAAUAUGGAGACUUCUAAGGGUUUCAAUCCUUGGGCCCUUGAAUUGGUGGGGGACCACAAGCUAGUGAAAGGCAUUUGGUCAUUUGGGCUUCAAAGAAAGCAACGUAGAGAGACUUGGAACAAGAAGUACUUGGGAGGCUUUGUCCACAUGUGUGGGGACCACCUAGAUAGCUUUUAGUCAUCUUUCUUUUGUUGCUUUAAAAGGGGACAACGUACAGAAGCAAAAGAUAUCGAGGGCUUUAGUUUUAGUUUUUUAGUUUAGUUCUAGUUUUCUUUCUUUGGACUGGCCUCUGACACACGCCAGGUAUUCGACAAUAUUCCCCAACGGGGAGAUUUUCUCAUGAGGCGUGGUUAAGCUUUUCUAGUCAAGGGGACAACUGACGAU
rnacentral:lncRNA from 1 species